rnacentral:rRNA from 1 species
GGUUAACGCUGGCGGUAUGUAUAAUACAUGCAAGUUGAGCGCCUAUUUAUAGGAGCAGCGAACGGGUGAGUAACACGUUGGAACCUACCUUGGACUCAGGGAUAACAUCUAGAAAUAGGUGCUAAUACCGGAUAGUCCCGCAAGGGUAAAGCUUUUGCGGUCCAAGAGGGUCCUGCGGCCUAUCAGCUAGUUGGUAAGGUAACGGCUUACCAAGGCUAUGACGGGUAGCUGGUCUGAGAGGAUGAUCAGCCACAAUGGGACUGAGACACGGCCCAUACUCCUACGGGAGGCAGCAGUAAAGAAUCUUCCGCAAUGGACGAAAGUCUGACGGAGCAAUACCGCGUGAACGAUGAAGGUUGAAAGAUUGUAAAGUUCUUUUCUGAGGGAAGAAUUCUGACGGUACCUCAGGAAUAAGCACCGGCUAACUCCGUG